GCCAUAUUGGUUUGAUGGUGCCUAAUGUGGAUGCAGCUUGCGCCAGAUUCGAGAAGCUCGGCGUCACAUUCAAGAAGAGGCCUAAUGAUGGUAAGAUGAAGGGAAUUGCUUUUAUACAAGAUCCUGACGGCUACUGGAUUGAGAUUUUCAAUGCAAAAGGAGUCACUGAAAUAGUGAACAAUUAAGUAAGUCAAUGUGCACAUGCUCAAAGAAGAGACUGAAAGCAGGUGAAUUUACACUACUGAUUCAUUGUAAAAGAUAUCUGUAUCAAAUUGCACGACAAAUUUUAGUUAGUAAAAAUUGUUUUAUUUAGCAUUAAAUAUAACUACUACUAUAGCAAGAAACAUUUAAUGACAUUAUAAAUUUAAAUGAUGUAAGUGCCGUAUACAUUAAUUAGAGAAAAAGUUUGUUAUUUUGCUUCUUUUCACUUCCAGCAGUUGAAAAUUAGUUUCAGUAUUUUAAUUUAUAAAAAUAGAUUUACAUUAACAUUAGAUUUGUUAAUGCUAUACACUAAAUCACAUUUGAUGUUGUAAAAUUGUAUUGAGUAUAUUACAUAACAAUUUUAUGUAUAUUUACAAUCGUGAGCAUUAUUUGCUAUUUCAGUGCCAUGUUAAUGUUCACAGUAUUUGAAUGUUUAUUAUAUUAUUGUUUAAAGGUA